AUGGAUUCAGUGAUGUGUCUGUCUUUUCAGACAACAGCUGUUGACACGAGGAGACAGAGAACUUCAGGCCCCUGCUGCCCUAGUGAAGGCUGCUGCGGAACCACUCGGAAAAUGUAUCAUUACGGAGAGCUGCCAAUGGUGAUGGCGUCUCCCUGGCACCAGCUACACAAUCUGAAACCUGUCUCGGAUCAGUCACAUAGACUGGAAGGGUACAGAGAGACAAAACAUCUGAUGCAGGCACCAGGGUCCCGGGAUCCCCUUCCACCACCUUGUCCUUGA
rnacentral:lncRNA from 1 species